UGAGGAAUAUUGGUCAAUGGACGAGAGUCUGAACCAGCCAAGUAGCGUGAAGGAUGACUGCCCUAUGGGUUGUAAACUUUUUUUAUACGGGAAUAAAGUGAGGCACGCGUGCCUUUUUGUAUGUACCGUAUGAAUAAGGAUCGGCUAACUCCGUGCCAGCAGCCGCGGUAAUACGGAGGAUCCGAGCGUUAUCCGGAUUUAUUGGGUUUAAAGGGAGCGUAGGCGGACGCUUAAGUCAGUUGUGAAAGUUUGCGGCUCAACCGUAAAAUUGCAGUUGAUACUGGGUGUCUUGAGUACAGUAGAGGCAGGCGGAAUUCGUGGUGUAGCGGUGAAAUGCUUAGAUAUCACGAAGAACUCCGAUUGCGAAGGCAGCCUGCUGGACUGUAACUGACGCUGAUGCUCGAAAGUGUGGGUAUCAAACAGG
rnacentral:rRNA from 1 species